rnacentral:rRNA from 1 species
GACGGGGGGGGCAAGUGUUCUUCGGAAUGACUGGGCGUAAAGGGCACGUAGGCGGUGAAUCGGGUUGAAAGUGAAAGUCGCCAAAAAGUGGCGGAAUGCUCUCGAAACCAAUUCACUUGAGUGAGACAGAGGAGAGUGGAAUUUCGUGUGUAGGGGUGAAAUCCGUAAUAUACGAAGGAACGCCAAAAGCGAAGGCAGCUACGUCGUGGGUCCCUAGCCCGA